rnacentral:rRNA from 1 species
UACGAAGGGUGCAAGCGUUACUCGGAAUUACUGGGCGUAAAGGGUGCGUAGGUGGUUGUUUAAGUCUGUUGUGAAAGCCCCGGGCUCAACCUGGGAAUGGCAAUGGAUACUGGACAGCUAGAGUGCGGUAGAGGGUAGUGGAAUUCCCGGUGUAGCAGUGAAAUGCGUAGAGAUCGGGAGGAACACCUGUGGCGAAGGCGGCCACCUGGUUGGAUACUGACGCUGAGACGCGAAAGCGUGGGGAGCAAACAGG